rnacentral:rRNA from 1 species
AACGAACGCUAGCGGGAGGCCUAACACAUGCAAGUCGAACGGGAUUGGUAGCAAUACCAUGAGAGUGGCGCACGGGUGAGUAACGCGUAUGCAACCUACCUGUAACAGAGGGAUAGCCCAUAGAAAUGUGAAUUAAUACCUCAUAGUUCUGUGAAGUCGCAUGAUUUUACAGAUAAAACUCCGGUGGUUACAGAUGGGCAUGCGUGACAUUAGCUAGUUGGUGAGGUAACGGCUCACCAAGGCGACGAUGUCUAGGGGUUCUGAGAGGAUGAUCCCCCACACUGGUACUGAGACACGGACCAGACUCCUACGGGAGGCAGCAGUGAGGAAUAUUGGUCAAUGGGCGCAAGCCUGAACCAGCCAUCCCGCGUGCAGGAUGACGGCCCUGUGGGUUGUAAACUGCUUUUAUACAGGAAGAAAAAUCUCUACGUGUAGAGACCUGCCGGUACUGUAUGAAUAAGCAUCGGCUAACUCCGUGCCAGCAGCCGCAGUAA